rnacentral:rRNA from 1 species
AUUAACAGGAUUAGAUACCCUGGUAGUCCACGCAGUAAACGAUGAUUACUGGCUGUUUGCGAUAUACUGUAAGCGGCUGAGCGAAAGCGUUAAGUAAUCCACCUGGGGAGUACGUUCGCAAGAAUGAAACUCAAAGGAAUUGACGGGGGCCCGCACAAGCGGAGGAACAUGUGGUUUAAUUCGAUGAUACGCGAGGAACCUUACCCGGGCUUGAAAUGCAGAUGGCCGGUCCAGAGACGGACCUUCCCUACGGGGCAUCUGUGUAGGUGCUGCAUGGUUGUCGUCAGCUCGUGCCGUGAGGUGUCGGCUUAAGUGCCAUAACGAGCGCAACCCCUAUCGUUAGUUGCCAUCAGGUAGUGCUGGGGACUCUAACGAGACUGCCAUCGUAAGAUGCGAGGAAGGUGGGGAUGACGUCAAAUCAGCACGGCCCUUACGUCCGGGGCGACACACGUGUUACAAUGGGUGGUACAAAGGGCAGCUACAUGGCGACAUGAUGCCAAUCUCGAAAACCACUCUCAGUUCGGAUCGGAGUCUGCAACUCGACUCCGUGAAGCUGGAUUCGCUAGUAAUCGCGCAUCAGCCACGGCGCGGUGAAUACGUUCCCGGGCCUUGUACACACCGCCCGUCAAGCCAUGGAAGCUGGGGGUGCCUGAAGUCCGUAACCGUCAAGGAGCGGCCUAGGGUAAAACUAGUGACUGGGGCUAAGUCGUAAC